GAUGAACGCUGGCGGCGUGCCUAAUACAUGCAAGUCGAGCGAACAGACGAGGAGAUUGUUCUUCUGACGUUAGCGGCGGACGGGUGAGUAACACGUGGAUAACCUACCUAUAUGACGGGGAUAACAUCGGGAAACCGGAUCCAAUACUGGAUAAUAUAUUCAACCGCUGGGAUCAAUAGUGAAAGACGGUUUUGCUGUCUGAUAUAGAUGGAUCCGCGCCGCAUUAGCUAGUUGGUAAGGUAACGGCUUACCAAGGCGACGAUGCGUAGCUGAUCUGAGAGGGUGAUCGGCCACACUGGAACUGAGACACGGUCCAGACUCCUACGGGAGGCAGCAGUAGGGAAUCUUCCACAAAGGGCGAAAGCCUGACGGAGCAACGCCGCGUGGGUGAUGAAGGUCUUCGGGUCGUAAAGCUCUGUUGUUAGGGAAGAACAGAUGUAUGAGUAACUAUGCACGUCUUGACGGUACCUAAUCAGAAAGCCACGGCUAACUACGUG
rnacentral:rRNA from 1 species